GACGAACGCUGGCGGCGUGCCUAAUACAUGCAAGUUGAGCGAUGAAGAUUGGUGCUUGCACCAAUUUGAAGAGCAGCGAACGGGUGAGUAACGCGUGGGGAAUCUGCCUUUGAGCGGGGGACAACAUUUGGAAACGAAUGCUAAUACCGCAUAACAACUUUAAACAUAAGUUUUAAGUUUGAAAGAUGCAAUUGCAUCACUCAAAGAUGAUCCCGCGUUGUAUUGGCUAGUUGGUGAGGUAAAGGCUCACCAAGGCGAUGAUACAUAGCCGACCUGAGAGGGUGAUCGGCCACAUUGGGACUGAGACACGGCCCACACUCCUACGGGAGGCAGCAGUAGGGAAUCUUCGGCAAUAGACGAAAGUCUGACCGAGCAACGCCGCGUGAGUGAAGAAGGUUUUCCGAUCGUAAAACUCUGUUGGUAGAGGAGAACGUUGGUGAGAGUGGAAAGCUCAUCAAGUGACGGUAACUACCCAGAAAGGGACGGCUAACUACGU
rnacentral:rRNA from 1 species